UAGUCUCAAUGGAAUAAAAAAAUAAAAAAUAAAAAGAACAGUCAACUUUCUUUUUUUUUAAGAUUAUGAAGGAAAGAAUCAGUGAAUAUUUGGAAGCUGGAGCAAAUAUUUAACUCAGAUUAUAAUAAGGCUGACAAACAUUUUAAAGCUCUUAUAGCCGAUGAAAACGACGUUCCACAGCAGCAGGAACAUUGUGAAAAUUUCUGGUUGGAGAUCUUAAGAGCAACUAAGAAAGGUUUGUAUUUGUUGCUAUGGAAACUGUUGCUACUACGGCGUAUCCAUGGUUUUCAAAGACGUGCUCAUGACUAUUGUGAUGCUGAGCUAUUUUUGAUUCCUCUAUAACUUUAUAUUAGUUCUCAUUAGAGGCUGUUUGCGCUGCAAGAGGCUCUCAGCUGUUCAGGGCUAAAAAACAAAAGGCUUUUGUCAUCAACCUUUUAAACAAGACUUGAUGGAGUUGUGCCCAUAACACCACCUGUAAUAAGAUGAAGUAAUACAGGAACAUCAGCAAAGAAGAAAAACCCAGAAGUGAGGAGACGCUCACCUGAGAACGAGAGCAUGUUAACUCAUCACGGUCAGUUUUUGUGUCUGUUUGCUAUUUUGUGGCAAAUCAUUAAUCAGACAGGGCAAUUUUUAUUUUUCAAAAACUAGCUUCCAAGCUGCAAUUCUUCUGAAAACCUCACAUAGAGUUAAAGUUGCUGAUAAGAGCUCUGCUUUUGUUUUCUGUCUCUUUAUUUGCACAUUUCCUUGUAUUCUGUGCAUCUGCAUCCGAACAUGAGCCCAUGUGAAGCUACUGCGUCGACCUUAAAAAGACAUGGAAGGGAUUUAUGAAGAGGACGGAGCAGAGUUAAAUGGACUGAUCUAAUUAUUGGAGAUUAUGUGGCGUAAAGUUACAGUAAAAACCAUUUGGUCUGGUUAAUGUGUUCCAUUAAGGACAUUUUCAAAUCCCAAAUGUGUUUUCUUCACCCAUCAGCUUUUCAUGAAAAUGAUCAACAGGCAGGCAGAAGAUACUGAGGCCGUUUUACCAUCUAUGCACCUACGGGACAGACUAGAUCAUUUCCAUCAACACAGGCAGCGCCACAGGGACCGUUACUUGGUAAUGUGGAAGAGAGAAGUUUUUCAGAAACCAAACCGAUGGAAUAAACACAAACGGGAAGAGAAACGGAUCUGCGUCAGAUGUCUGUUGUCGCCAGUGUUUGCCUCAGCUUCCAGACUCUUGCAGUUCUAUUGAGACGCUCCACUUCUACAAAUCUCCACUGUCGCAUGUUUUUCAUUUUCCCAACCAUUGUGGUGAAUGUGUCUGCAUGUAGGUACAGACGGUAGUAGCACUUGUAGAGCAGCUUUCUGCUAAUCGCCUGUGAGGAUGCCUCUAAAUCUCAUACAACCCAUGCUGCAGUGCAGAUGCCUCAAAGCAUUCGCUAGCUCCAAUUAAACAGACAUUUCGAACAUUUA